GCGGGCGUCGUUUNUGUCGACGGNGCGUGUCGGACUUCACUGGMCGGWGCSCUCUCYGKCSSCKACGUUACUUUGAGGAAAUCACAGUGCUCAAAGCAAGCGUUUGCUCRUGACUUCACUAKCAUGGAAUAACACASAUGGGCUCUUUUUCGCAACGUUGGUCUGCGUCAACUGAGCAACGAUCGAUAGAGACGGUCGGGGGCAUUCGUAUUGCGCAGUUAGAGGUGAAAUUCUCCGAUCUGCGCAAGACGCACUAAUGCGAAAGCAGUUGCCAAGGACGUUCUCUUAUGAUCAAGAGCGAAAGUCGGGGGAUCAAAGAUGAUUAGAUACCGUCGUAGUCCCGACCAUAAAUGAUGCCAACUGAGCGUCGGCGACGCGGCUGUCAGCCGGACGUCGGCGCUCUUGAGAGAAAUUAAAGUCUUUGGGCUCCGGGGGUAGUAUGGUCGCAAGUCUGAAACUUGAAGGAAUUGACGGAAGGGCACCACAAGGCGUGGAUGUUGCGGCUUAAUUUGACUCAACACGGGAAAGCUUACUAGGUUUGGACACUUGAAUGAGGGACAUAUUGAAGCUCUUACCUUUUUUUGUGGAUGGUGGUGCAUGGUCGUUCUCAGCCCGUGGGUUGACCUGUCAGGUUUACUCCGGUAACGCGCGAGACCUCGGUUUGCUAAAUAGACACGGCUGUUUCGGCACCCGUGAUCUUCUUAGAGAGAGUCUUGACGAGAGUUGAGGGAAGUCGAGGCAAUAACAGAUCUGUGAUGCCCUUAGUUAUCCUAGGUCGCACGCGCCAUACAAUGUGGCGCACAACGAGUCUCCUAGGCCGACAGGAAUUCUCGUCGACGGCAGAUGCAUUGGUCCCGUGGGUUGGUGCAUSUACUUUUCGNAAGUGGAUCGCCGACGCGCGGUCGAUCUCGCGACGCUGUCGCGAGCACUUCUGGGCAAUCUUGCAGAGCGYUACGUGACUGGGCUAGACUUUUGUAAUUGUUGGUCUUGAACGAGGAAUGCMUAGUAAUCGCAGGUCAUUAUCCUGAGAUGAUUUG
rnacentral:rRNA from 1 species